rnacentral:misc_RNA from 1 species
GAUCAUUAUUGAAGUCUGGUUGUUGCUGGCCUUUUCUCGGCAUUGUGCACGCCUUAUUCAAACCACCUGUGCACCAUUUGUAGACUUGUUUGUUUAUUGAUUAUUUUUUUUACCCCCACGUAUCAGAAUGUAUUGAUGAUUGGCCUCAGUGCCUUUAAAUCAAAUAAUAUACAACUUUCAGCAACGGAUCUCUUGGCUCUCGCAUCGAUGAAGGACGCAGCGAAACGCGAUAAGUAAUGUGAAUUGCAGACACGUGAAUCAUCGAAUCUUUGAACGCACCUUGCGCUCCUUGGUGAUCUGAGGAGCAUGCCUGUUUGAGUGUCAUUAAAUUCUCAACCUAACCAGCUUUUGUGAGCUUGGGAUAGGCUUGGAUUGUGGGGGUUUUGCUGGCUUCAACCUCCCAGAAGUCAGCUCCCCUUAAAUGCAUUAGUGGAACGAUUUGUUGACGUUGUUUCCUGGUGUGAUAAAACCUUUAUCACCACCGUGUGCAGUCAGCUUACUCUGCUUCUAACAAACCUAGUCUUUGACUUGACCAUUUGACCUCCAAUCAGGUAGGACUACCCGCUGAA